AUUGAACGCUGGCGGCAUGCCUUACACAUGCAAGUCGAACGGCAGCACGGGAGCAAUCCUGGUGGCGAGUGGCGAACGGGUGAGUAAUAUAUCGGAACGUGCCCAGUCGUGGGGGAUAACGCAGCGAAAGCUGUGCUAAUACCGCAUACGAUCUAAGGAUGAAAGCGGGGGAUCGCAAGACCUCGCGCGGUUGGAGCGGCCGAUAUCAGAUUAGCUAGUUGGUGGGGUAAAGGCCCACCAAGGCGACGAUCUGUAGCUGGUCUGAGAGGACGACCAGCCACACUGGAACUGGGACACGGUCCAGACUCCUACGGGAGGCAGCAGUGGGGAAUUUUGGACAAUGGGCGCAAGCCUGAUCCAGCAAUGCCGCGUGCAGGAUGAAGGCCUUCGGGUUGUAAACUGCUUUUGUACGGAACGAAACGGCCCUUUCUAAUACAGGGGGCUAAUGACGGUACCGUAAGAAUAAGCACCGGCUAACUACGUGCCAGCAGCCGCCGUAA
rnacentral:rRNA from 1 species